AUGCAACUGGGAUCCAUUUUCAAAGUUCAAUUGUACAUGGUUAUUUCUACAGUGUUUAGUUCAGUACAAUGUAAAGAAAUACAUAACAACAACUGUACAGUUGUUGUACAAACUGUAUUUUGUAUUGUUUUGAAACAAUUAUGUUUUAUAGUGCUGGUUUCCACCGGUAUUACUGUAAUUUUGUCUGGACUCAUGGGAUUCAUCUGUCUGUGCCAGUUUGCAUGUUCUGCUGAUGUUCUCACAGAACUGAACUACACCUCCUGCCAGAUGGAAACAACAUCUCUUUUAACUUCCUCUGUGUGCUCCUCAAAACAUGAAUGACUUGUUUACUUUCUUCACUUGUUGCCUUGAAACACAAAACAAAUGAUAUGUACAGAAAGAUAAUACAGUACUUAGUUACUGAAUUUAUAUACUGAUCAGCAGACCAGACAGAAUCUGUGGAGCUUUUUUUUCCACACAUUUUGAUUUUGGGAGAAAAUUUAUUUUUUUAUGGAUAAAAUGUGUUAAAUGUAGGUGAAAGUUAUCUGUGGAGUUAAGAUUCAGAUUUAUUACAAGAUCAGUGAUCGGUACAGAUCUAAGGCUUAAGAAAUAUAAAAUCUAAUUUAUGUCAUUUUUUUUUUAAAUCAACUACUGUAACAUAUACAUGUACAAGAGUUCUAACAAAGUUGCAGCAUGGUAUAAACAAUUUCAUAAAAUUAGCAUAAUGCCUUACUUGUUUAAUUUGUAUUAUUGUACUUUCAGUUGUCUGAUGAAAAAGAGCAACUGACCGCUUGACAUUGUCUGCAUGUUUUAUGCAUUAACCAGCAAACAUGUACCUAAUAUAGAGACUAUAAACUGAAUAAUGUAUUCCACAUUCUUAAUUUUGUUAUUAUGAUCUUGUGUUUUUCAAGUGUAUUAAUGGUACAGAUGUUUUUGCCACAUUUAUGUUACUUUUACAAAACUACCUUCCUUUUAGUCUUUGCCCCAGAUCUGUCAUCUGUUAAAUAGCUGUAGAUGUGGUCUCACGAUCUGUGUUCAUCUUCAUAACUGACUGCACAAUGCAUUAAACAGUUUGUGGUCUGAUGUUCUACUUCCUUAUUCACCCAUUGUGAGAGUCUCAUUCUGUAUCUUCUCUCACACUCGCUGUUAUGGAGUUGUUCAUCCUCAUAGUUUUUCUGCUCCUGAUGGAGGUUCAGUCUCACCGUAAGUGAUGUCUAUUGUUUAAUUUUGAUUAAACAUUGUAUGUCCACAUUUGUCUAGCAUAUUUCAGCAUUUGUUUUCAGUACGUUUUAGUAAUACUGCAAACACUUGAACCUACAACUUCUCUGUUUUACAUUAGUUA
ensembl:lncRNA